rnacentral:rRNA from 1 species
GACGAACGCUGGCGGCGUGCUUAACACAUGCAAGUCGAACGGAAAGGCCCUGCUUUUGUGGGGUGCUCGAGUGGCGAACGGGUGAGUAACACGUGAGUAACCUGCCCUUGACUUUGGGAUAACUUCAGUAAACUGGGGCUAAUACCGGAUAGGAGCUCCGGCUGCAUGGUGGGGGUUGGAAAGUUUCGGCGGUUGGGGAUGGACUCGCGGCUUAUCAGCUUGUUGGUGGGGUAGUGGCUUACCAAGGCUUUGACGGGUAGCCGGCCUGAGAGGGUGACCGGCCACAUUGGGACUGAGAUACGGCCCAGACUCCUACGGGAGGCAGCAGUGGGGAAUAUUGCACAAUGGGCGGAAGCCUGAUGCAGCAACGCCGCGUGCGGGAUGACGGCCUUCGGGUUGUAAACCGCUUUCGCCUGUGACGAAGCGUGAGUGACGGUAAUGGGUAAAGAAGCACCGGCUAACUACGUG